GGUUUGAUUCUGGCUCAGAUUGAACGCUUUCGGCGGGAUGCUUUACAUGCAAGUCGAACGGCAGCACGGCUUCGGUCUGGUGGCGAGUGUGGCGAACGGGUGAGUAAUGUAUCGGAACGCCUAGUAGUGAUAACUACGCGAAAAAGUGUAGCCAAUACCGCAUACCGCCCUUCGGGGGAAAGCGGGGACCUUUCGGGCCUCGCACUAUUAGAGCGGCUUGAUAUCGGAUUAGCUAGUUGGUGGGGUAACGGCUCACUAUGACGAUCCGUGGCUGGUUUGAGAGGACGACCAGCCACAUCGGGACUGAGACACGGCCCAGACUCCUACGGGAGGCAGUGGGAAUUUUUGGACGUUGGGGUAACUUGAUCCAGCCAUUCCAAGUGUGUGCGAUGGUUGGGCUUCGGGUUGUAAAUAAUUUUUGGCAGGAAGAAACGGCACGUGGAUAAUACCUCGUGCAACUGACGGUACUGGAGAAUAGCACCGGCUAAUUCACGUGCCAGCAGCCGCGGUAAUACGUAGUGCAAGCGUUAAUCGGAAUACAUUGGCGUGAAGUGCAGCAGGCGGUUCGGAAAGAAAGAUGUGAAAUCCCAGAGCUUAACUUGAACUGCAUUUUUAAUCACUGAGCUAGAGUGUGUCAGGAGGGAGUGUGGAAUUCCGCGUGUAGCAGUGAAAUGCGUAGAUAUGCGGAGGAACACCGAUGGCGAAGGCAGCCCCUGGGAUAACACUGACGCUCAUGCACGAGCGUGGGAGCAAAACAGAUUAGAUAAUUGGUAGUCCACGCCCAACGAUGUCAAUUAGCUGUUGGGGCCUUCGGGCUCGGUAGCGCAGCUAACGGAAGUUGACUGCCUGGGGAGUACGGUCGCAAAGAUUAAACUCAAAGGACGACGGGGACCUGCACAAGCGGUGGAUGAUGUGGAUUAAUUCGAUGCAACGCGAAAAACCUUACCUACCCUUGACAUGUCUGGAACUCGAAGAGAUUUGGGAGUGCUCGCAAGAGAACCGAACACAGGUGCAACAUUGUUGUCGUCAGCUCGUGUCGUGAGAUGUUGGGUUAAGUCCCGCAACGAGCGCAACCCUUUGGUCAAUAGUUGCUACGAAAGGGCACUCUAAUGAGACUGCCGGUGACAAACCGAGGAAGGUGGGGAUGACGUCAAGUCCUCAUGGCCUCUGUGGGUAGGGCUUCACACGUCAUAACGGUCGGGACAGAGGGUCGCCAACCCGCGAGGGGAGCCAAUCCCAGAAACCCGAUCGUAGUCCGGAUCGCAGUCUGCACCCGACUGCGUGAAGUCGGAAUCGCUAGUAAUCAUGAUCAGCAGUCGCGUGAAUACGUUCCCGGGUCUGUACACCGCCCGUCACACCAUGUGGAGUGGGUUUUACCAGAAGUAGUUAGCCCAAACGUAUGAUAGGCGAUUACCAUUUGUAGGAUUCAUGACUGGGGUGAAGUCGUAAUAAGGCAGC
rnacentral:rRNA from 1 species